rnacentral:lncRNA from 1 species
CCCUAAAAACGCAGCUAAUUGCAUUCCUCUCCUAAAUUGAAGUUCCCCUCAAUGGCGCGACGCGACGAAGACCGGCUCCAGUCAGCUUCUAGUUGCUGCCCUUGCUGAUGAGCUCCAGGGCGGCGGCGGUGGUGGGCAGCGCCGGGAUGGCUCCCUUCUGGGUGGUGCAGAUGGCUCCGCAGGCGUUCGAGAACUGCAGCACCUCCCUCAGCUUCGCCUCAUUCUGAAACAUCAACCAAAAAAGAUCAACAUUUUAAGUAACACAAGAUCAAACUUAACAACAACGGUGAUCGAUCACCGGAGAAGAGAAGGAAUCGAUGAGCCUUACGUGGAAGAUGGAGUCAUCCUUGGCGACAUUGAGCAGGAGAGACCCAACAAAGGCAUCACCAGCACCAGUAGUAUCAACAGUCUUAACAGAGUAGCCAGGAACAGAGCCCUUAAAAUCCUUGGUAAAAUACCUGCAGCCCUUCUCCCCAUCGGUAACAAUGAGCAGCUUGAGGCCCUCAAACCACAGCGACAACACAUUCUUCUCAUCAUUGGCAUCGCCCUGGGUCAAGAAGGCCACCUCGUCAUCACUCACCUUGAUGAAGUCGGCCUCCUUCCAGAUGCUCUUGAUCCCCUCACGGGCGGCCUCGGGGGACGGCCAGAGCGGGAGGCGGACGUUGGGGUCGUAGGAGCAGAGGAUGCCGGCGGCCUUGGCGGCGCGCAUGGCGGCCACGUGCGCCGAGCGGCAGGGCUCCGUGAUGAGCGAGAUGGAGCCGUAGUGGAAGAUGCGCGCGCGGCGGAUCAGGUCCAGGUUGAGCUCGUCGGCGGUCAGCAGCAUGUCGGCGGAAGGGUUGCGGUAGAACAUGAACUCCCGCUCGCCGUUGGACUUGAGGGUGACGAAGGCGAGAGCCGUGCGCGCGUGCUGGUCGUAGAGGCAGCCCUCCGAGUUGACCCCGUUCUGCUUCAGGAUGUCCACCAGCAUGUGCCCGAACUCGUCGUCGCCGAACUGCGAUGCAUACCAGGGGGGAAUAAAAAUUCAGUCUUUUGGUUACAAAGAAACAAUUACCAAAUGGAUGAUGAUAUGUGGUGGUAAAGUAAAUUAUUGAUGAUCGAUGAUGAUGCAUUGCUGGUUGAUUAACUUAGUUGUACUCCGAGGAGAGAAAAAAUAUCGAUCUUUUUUUAAGUAGUGCAGAAGAAAGUUUCAUUCUUGGUGUCAGGAAGAAUCAGCAGUGUUAGAUUUGGUGGUGAUGGAUCCAGAAGCUAAUAAAUCUCAAAUGACGGCAGCUGCAGGUAAUAUUAAACUAAUGAUAGCCGUGGGAUCCGAGUCAGCUGGGACCCACAGAAGAAAGCUGUGGGCGGGUGCAAGUAUCUACAUGUGAUCCGAAAGGCCAACACACGAUGAUGUCUAGUACAGCUCCCUGACACCGACAGAGCCAGACCGUCAGACUAUUAUUUUAAAAAAAUCAAUGUUUAACUCCAGAAUUAUCGAUCGGCACGGGCUAAGACCAAUAUAAUAAGAGAUAAAAUAACAGCUAUUGCAAGGGGAAAGAAACCAAAAUUAGGCGAUACAACCAAGUACUAGGGGUCAAUUUCUUUUUUUUCUUCAGAAAUAAAGGGGUGAAUUAAACAAAGCGCUCGUUUGUCUGGCGCCACCCACUCUCACUACCCGCUACCGGCUGGCAAUGAUUAUUACUCCUAGUCACCUUUUGCGACUCUGCUGAAGCAAGCAAGCUCUGCAUCCGCGGCGAGAUUUCCCUACCCAGAAAUAGAACACAUCCUAGACAGAUUUUCAUUUUCCGAUAUUCCUGUAGGUGCAUUACAUUUUGCAUAUAAAUAUAAAACCAGGAGGCCCCACAUGUCAUCGUGAAGUACAGUCUAGCAUCUCUACUUAAAAAAAGAAAAGAAAAUCAUGGCAUAUGCAUUCAGAAAAAGAAAAAACUAAUGGCACCCAUGUAAAUUACAUUUCCGGAAAGAGUCGAGUGAUCGACACGAUACCGAUCGAUAAGCUACAACGGUAUAACAAGGUCAACGCCGGAUCUCCGCCGUACGCCGACGAUCGGACGGCCGAGAGAGCACCGUCCUCCCGUCCGUCCAUGAUGAGAUCCGGCCACGAGCGCGCCAGAUCCGAGCCUACCUACCGACGCCGCCGGCUCUAACGACGGCAUCCAUCGGCAAAGACAAACCAAACCAGAUCUACCAAGAGCAAACAACCGAAGAAGAAGAACAGGUACUAGUUUGAAUGAUCCAUGUUGCUACCUUGCCGACGAAGGCGGAGGAGCCGCCGAGCUUGGAGACGGCGCAGGCGACGUUGGCGGGGGCGCCGCCGGGUGCCUUGACGAAGCCGCCCGACUCCGCCAGCGACACGCCGGCCACGUCGGGGACGAAAUCGAUCAGCAUCUCCCCGAACGACACCACCAGACCCCCCGCCGGAGCGACCGCCGCCGCCGCCGCAGGAGCGUCACCAAGAGGCGCCAUGGAAUCGAUUCGAAUCGAGCUAACCACGAACGAAACGAAGGAAGAAUCGAAUCGAAUCGAGCACGAGAGGAUUGGAAGAAAGUUGGAUGCGGAGG